rnacentral:rRNA from 1 species
CAGUAGCCGCGGGAAUACGAAGGGUGCAAGCAUUAAUCGGAAUUACUGGGCGUAAAGCGCGCGUAGGUGGUUCAGUAAGUUGGAUGUGAAAGCCCUGGGCUCAACCUGGGAACUGCAUCCAAAACUGGUGAGCUAGAGUACGGUAGAGGGUAGUGGAAUUUCCUGUGUAGCGGUGAAAUGCGUAGAUAUAGGAAGGAACACCAGUGGCGAAGGCGACUACCUGGACUGAUACUGACACUGAGGUGCGAAAGCGUGGGGAGCAAACAGGAUUAGAUACCCCUGUAGUCCCUGUCUCUUAUAC